rnacentral:rRNA from 1 species
GGCGAACGGGUGAGUAACACGUAGGCAACCUUCCUUGUGAACGGGGAUAACCCCGCGAAAGCGGGGCUAAUACUCGAUGACAUUACGGGAUAGCAUUAUACUGUAAUCAAAAGCCCCAAAAGGGCGUCACAAGAUGGGCCUGCGUCCCAUUAGAUAGUUGGCGGGGUAAUGGCCCACCAAGUCAACGAUGGGUAGCUGGUCUGAGAGGACGACCAGCCACACUGGAACUGAGACACGGUCCAGACUUCUACGGAAGGCAGCAGUGAGGAAUAUUGCUCAAUGGGCGAAAGCCUGAAGCAGCGACGCCGCGUGAGGGAUGAAAUCCGUUAGGAUGUAAACCUCUUUUGCAGGGGAAGAAUCUCCCGUUUUACGGGACUGACGGUACUCUGCGAAUAAGCACCGGCCAACUACGUGCCAGCCGCCGCGG